UACAGAGGGGGCAAGCGUUGUUCGGAAUUACUGGGCGUAAAGGGCGCGUAGGCGGCCUGUUAAGUCGAACGUGAAAUCCCCGGGCUCAACCCGGGAACUGCGUCCGAUACUGGCAGGCUUGAAUCCGGGAGAGGGAUGCGGAAUUCCAGGUGUAGCGGUGAAAUGCGUAGAUAUCGGGAGGAACACCAGAGGCGAAGGCGGGCUACUGGGCCGAUACUGACGCUGAUGCGCGAAAGCCAGGGGAGCAAACGGG
rnacentral:rRNA from 1 species